UCAUACUAAUUACAAUAUACCGGUUCUCGUUAGAUCACCGAAGUCAAGCAUCAUUGGGCGCGGUCAGUACUUGGGUGGGUGACCACCUGGGAACACCGCGUGCCGUU
rnacentral:rRNA from 1 species